UAAAAUAGGAAAAGGAUACAUUGACUUUGUGAUUUUCAGUUUUUUUAUUGUUUGAAAACGGAUAUGGAUGAGAGAAAAAGCUAACUGUAACUUUAUUAUUUUUUCGCAGGAACCGGAAGUGGAAAUGGGAAAUCAAAACUGAUAUGGCGGUCAGAAAAUGGGAAUUUAAUUUUAAAAUACAGUGCAAUCUAGUCAUAUUGUGUGAUAUGCUUAAAUGUCUUUCACAAUAUCAUAUGAAAACUGUGAAUAUCGGGGUGAGGGGAAUGCUGGCCUUGUUAUCCGUUUAAAAAAGGAGGAAAAGGUAUUACGAUUAACAAAACAAGACAAUGCUUGCAAGAUUACUAGAAGCAAGGAAGUUCAAUUUAAAGAACUGGAAAGUAAGGUUGAAGUAAUUCAAAAUGUCAUGAAGUUUUUAUUAGGUCAAGAUUUAAUGCAAUGUCCUAUAAUUGUAUUCUUGUCAAAAGAAGACAUUUGGGUGAUUAAUUGUGUUGCCAAUAAGUUCCGGCCAGAUUUUCGGAGACAUAAGAGUGUGAAAGAAGAAGAUUCAUAUGUUCUUAUGUUACCAGAUUAUUGUUCCUUGCCUCCUCAUCUUAAGAAUUAUCCUUCUUUUGGUCCUGUGAUUAGUGUUGAAAUAAAGCCCAAGCAAGGUUUUAUGUUGCAAGAUGAGUUUUCAUUACCUGGUCAAUCUUUUGUUCCUAUGCGUAUGUGUCGUUUUUGCAUGAUGCAACAGUACAAAGUUAAACAGGGUGUAAUUUCAGAGAAAAGUGGUUAUUGCCCAACUGAUUUAUACAGCGGGUGUCCUAUUAGAAUGCGCCACAGUCUGAAGAUGUUACUCAAAACCCCACAAAAUAAUUUUAGGAUUUUUAAAGACCAAAAACUUAUUUAUUCCGAGGAGAAAAAGUCAAACUUAAGUGAUGUGCUUUCAGAUUUUUUUGAUGUAAAUGAUAAGUUAAGUUAUUCAGAUUUGUUGUGUACUCUUAUUAUCCAAGUGUUAAUUCGACCUCUUGAAGCUGUCAGUUUACCAAUCUCUUCUGCAAAGAAAGUUAGUCAAAUGUGUAUAAAUGCUUAUUCUGGUUGCUCCAAAUUUGAUCCUUGCCACUUCUUGCCUGUAGGAUGUGUGCUAGAUAAAAUACUCCGUGUUCAGACUCUUGCUUCUUUCUGCAUUUCAGAUGUGUAUUCAUUAUAUUUGAAAAUUAAAAGCUGUAGUACUCAUCAGAGAUUUAACAGUAUUGGCUGCUAUGCAAGAUCUGAAUUCCCUCCCUAUCUUGGUGAGCCAGAUAAACAUCCAGAUGAAACUGACUACCAGUAUGCUUCCAGAAAAGUAUGGGAAUUUCUAGUUGCAUUAACUGUGAAGGAUUGUUCUAUCAUGUUAGUUUUGAGCGUCUUCUUAAAAGUUUUAUCCCAAAACAUUGUGAGAAUGUUAUCUCGGAUGGAAAUGGGAAUUUUUACCUUUUUUCCAUUGCUAUUGUGGAUUUAGAUGCAAAACCAUUAAAUAAAGUAGAAAAGGUUUACACAGAAGCUCCAUUCAUUUUAGAAUCAUGCAUUGAUUAAAUGCAAGAAAAUCUAGGCAUAGUAUUGAUGGAUUUGUCAGGAAUAACUAUCAGAUGGGAUACCAGAUGGGAAGAAGGUACAAGUACUUUAGAACUUUGAUCUGGUUGAAGCCACAGGUAAUACUUACCUUUUUAAAUGGAUUAUGAUGUUCGAUAUCACAGUGCUCAUCUUGUGGGAGAUUGCCUUUUGAAGCAAGAAAUCAAGCAUAUGAAGUGUCUGACAUCCUCACCCAACUUGAAUCCAAUAAAACACGCAAAGAAUACUUUAGAGAGAUUCUAUUGCUGCUUGUACAGAUGCUCAGAUUGGGUAUACAACACAACCUAGAAAUACUGACAACCUGAACAACCUGAAAUCCUCAUAAAAGGAAAUAGUUUAAGCUUUUUAUUUUUAUGUACUAAAAUAUUUGAAGACUCAACAAGGGGUUUAGACAAUAUUUUAGGCUCUUAAAUUGAAUAAAAUAAUUUUAAAAGCCAAAUUUUCCCAAGGCAUAUAUUUGUAGGGCUACAUAAACAUAUAUCGCAUUUUUUUCUCAAAAUGUGAACUGUAAAAUAAAUAUUUCUUCAAAAAAGUGACUGGUCUUUUAAUUUUUUUAGCAUUGUAUAAGAAUGUGCAUAAAUAUAAAUAUUUUUUUUUAAAAUUUUGUUAUAAAAUGUAAAAAGGCUAAACCAAAUUUUAAAAUUUUACAAUUUAUUUUAUUUUUUAUCUCUAUGAGAUAAAAAAUUAUUAAGUUAAAAAAUAGUAUAUUGUUCUAGCAUCCUAAUAUAUGUCUGCAUUUGUUUAUUUUAUUAUUAGCACCAGAAACGCACAUUAUUUUUUGAUGUACUGUUAACUUGUCUGGAAUAACUUUUAAAUUUUUUCACUGAGAAAAGUGAAACAUUGUGUAUUUCCAUCCUAUGCAUUUUUUUUCUUCUUCAUCAAAAUACCAAUAAAAUAUAAUGAUUAGAUAAUGAAUACAUUGAAGUAUGCAAAUUCGUGGAAUCCCCUUAGAUAUUUUAUUUAAAUGCAUAAAUAAUUUUUGUUUAAUUUCUUAACCAUAACAUAUUUAUUUACAUUACUUUUACACCAUACAUGACAGAUAUGCAUUUGUAAACUUAUUUAAGAUAGUAAUGUAUGAUGUUGAGCAUACUAGUGGAUUUGCUUUUAUAUGGAGCCAUAGCUAUGUAGAAUUGCUGUUAGGUAGAAAUUAAUCAUCAAGCGUUUUUUGAAAUAUGUGGAUCAUAUAAAUGAAAGUUUUAGGUAGUAUGUUUUCUGUUGUAUACUGCUCAUAAAUAUUAUGAUGUCUGCUUGUAAUAUUUACAGUAUCUAUUUUAUUUUAUGAUUAAGAAUGCAUCAUUGAAAAUUAGAAUUAUAUAUAUCCCGAAAGUUUCAAAAUGUGUCUUGCAGAAUAAAUUAAGCACUGAUGUAAUAAAAUGAAAAUCAUUUCAUAUAUAUAAAAACUGUAUUUUGUAAAGUGAUUAUUUAAAUCCAUCACUAGUUUACAGAAUUUUCCAAAUAUAAGCUGAUGCAUAUGUAAAUUGAGAAGUGAGGUUUUACUGCAAAAAUUUAGCCAAAAUUGAAAACUUGUGUAUUGGCUUUUAUAAAUCCUGCAAUUAUUGUUAAAUGUUUGAAUAAUGGAAAUGUAAAUGAAUAAUGAGAUAAAGAUGAGUGCGAAAUGCUCACAUAUUUAAAAAAAAAAAAGAAAGAAAGAAAGAUUGUUAAAAGAAUGUUUCAUUAGUAGUGCUAUUGAUAAAAAAUUAUGUUAACAGUGAAACAGAAAAAAAUGCCGUUCAUUUUGAUUUGAUUGUUACAGAGAUACAUAUGCGGAUUUUUAGAAAAUUCUGAGCUAGACACUGAUUCUGAGAAAUUUGAUUAAUGUAUAUUAGUGUUAAAUAAAAUAAAAAUAUUUCUUCAAUCAUUAAUAUUAUACAUGGAAAUAUAUGGUAGCUCUCACAUGUUUAGCCCAGAAGCAUAAUCCUAAUUUCUUUAAAAUAAAAUAUAAACACAUCAUAAUAUAAUGUGCAUAAUUAGUAUGUUCUUGAUAUUAUUUAACUUGAUUUUUUGUAAAUUCUUUUUUGGAUCAAAUUUAAAUAUCUGUCCGAGUCCAAAAUUAGUGCAAAUUUUCACUUUACAGUGGACUUUGUUUUCCCUCCAAAAUCAGUGCCAAUAGAAAGUUGAAUUUUGAGUAAUUUUAAAAUUGGUAUGUUUCUAGCUAGAGCUAAUUUAUUAUUUUUGUUGGAAUAUCAGAUUUAUUCAAUAACUGUGAAUAUUUUUUAACCCUCUCCGCAAAUUAUAUGUUGACUUUUUUGUUUGUUUGCUCAGAGGGUUCUGGGAAUAAUUUAAGAGUUUUUAAAAAUAGUUAAUAUUUCACACGUUGAAGAUGUUAGACUAAAGAAUGAGCUUUUGACAGAUUUCAAUGCUAGCCUGUAAUGUUUUGACACUCUUGAACAUCAUAUAUAGCAGACAUUUUUUCCCUUGUUACUGAAAGUACAUUCAUAUGUAUCACAAAAUAUACUGUAUUCUGUAUUUGAUUUUAAAGAGCACAAAACAAAUCCAAGAAUACUGCAAUGAAAUAUAUUUUCUGAGCACAUUAUAAUACACAUUAUAAUGCACAUUAGUUGUUUUGUUUUAAUUGUAUUUACUUUGUUCUCAAAUAUAGUGAAAAAAAUUUUUUUCUUAAAUGUUGAACUCAUUAAUUCUGGAAAUAUAUUUUAUUUCAAUAUGCUUGUGAAAAUAUGUCUAUAGAAAUAUAUCUGUGUAAUAUAUAUGCAAAUGUUUAUGCUUAUAAAUGUGUAUGAUUAAUUAUGUAUAUAUUCUACAAUUUUGUGCCAAAAGCCUAUAUGAUAAAAUAAUUCAAAAUAUAAAUAAAUAAAAUAGAAAAAAAAUAAUAAAUAAAAGAAACUCAAGUUCAUAAAUGCCCAUGAAAAAACUUUUCCAACAGAGAAGCAUUCUAAUAAAGAAAAGCCCAGUGAAAAAAUUUUCAUGUAGUAAAAUGCGGAUAUUCAAAGAAGGAGGAGAUAAAAUAUAAAUACAUUGAAAAACAAAAUUUCCCUCCUUUUUUUUUACAUUUAGAGCAUUACCAUAUAAUUAGUUAUAUGUGUUGUUUCUGUGGAGAAAGCUUCUUCUCUGUGGGGCUUACCAGUGGCCUAGUGGUAAAGUUUCUGAACACUGAUAGUUCAAUCUGGAUUUGAAUCUCAGCGUAUGGGCUGGCUUCAUGGACAUUUUCACGGUUUUUCCCCAUGGGUAAUGUGGAUAUGAGCCAGUUUCCAUUAAAAAGUCCUCCAUGAAGGCAUCCAUGUACAUAGGCAGAUAGCCCUAGGAUGCUUUGCCAAACCCUUUUUAUGCAUGUAGCAAUGCCUGAUAAAAGUAGUACUUUUAGAAAUGUAUUUUCAUUAAUUACCUGAAAUAAAUUGUGUUUCAUGAAAUCAUACAGUAAAAUAAUUUUAAUGUCAAUAGUUUCUUCUUUCUUACCCUUGUUUUUUCUUUUGUGAUGACUUUUGGCCCAUACUCAUAACUAACAUUUAUCACAAUUUCCCGUGCUUGAUUUUCUUCAACACUUUUGAAAAAAAAAUUGCUUAAUAAUGACAUCAUAAUAUGUAGUAUAUCUUGAAACUGAAAUAACUCCUCAUAAAUUACUUGCGUGGGUCUAAUUAGAACCUUUUUUAAUGAAGCAUUAUAUUAGUUCCAGUAAAGUGUAGUUUUGGUAUUGUAAUAAUACCAAAACUACACUUUACUGGAACUAAUAUGUAAAAUGUUGAACAUGUUUAGAAUAAUAAUUAUAAUAAACAUAAUAUUAAUAUUGGGUUGAAUUGAGUUUCGAUGUUUGAAAGGAGAAUCUGACUUAUAUAUCAAACACAUCUUUCCUCUUAGUCUUUUUCACUUAGUGAUAGCAGAAAAGUGUAUUUAUUGUGUGUGCAAAUGAUGUAGUUGCUCCAUUUUCUGAUUAAAUGUAACCAAUUAGCCAGAAAAUGGAGCAGCUACAAGCUAUAACAAGAUUUCUGUGUUAAGCUUUCAAAUCUUUUCCUGCUUUUUUCAAUUUAUAAAAAUACUUCUGAAAAUUUUCUAGUGGAUUUUUAAUAUUAUAUAGUUUAGACUAAUUAUGUAUAUAUUUAAAAUUUACUUUAAUUUUAGCUCUGUUAAUAAAGAUUAAUUUAAGAAAUGCAUACAUAUGUUGGAUGCAAAUUAGGAAACUGUUGGAAAUAGUUGUUUGGCAUAGUAAAUGCAUAACAAAGAAGUGACUUGCAAAUGUGGGCAAAUUCAAUUAUUUACUUUUUAUAUAUGGUUGACACAUGCUUCAUUAAUCCAUCACAAAAUGGGUGCUUUUAGAAGCUUAGCACAUCUUGUAAUGUAUGAUAAACAAAAGCAAGUGGGUGACAUGCUACUUUGAUGCAAGUGAGAAAGUGAUGCAUUCUGAAGAAAAUGUAGGAGAAAUUAAAAAAAGGGGGGAGUUUCAGUUGAAAUCUUACUCAGUGAUUGGAUAAAAGCAAUCUGCAUUGAGCGUAAAAUAAGAUUGUAUGAUACGAAUUAAUUUUGAAAUGAUGCAGUUUAGAUGGAUAUAUUAUAAAUAGUUACUAAUCUUAGGACAGAAAGGGAAAAUAUCCAAAUUAAUAUGAAGAAUAAAAGAGGCUAUUGCCAAUUAAAAUUAGAAGUUUGCUUAACAUAUUUUUAUCUUAUCUAUAUAUAAUUUAUAUAUUUUUCUUACAUAUAUAAUAAUAAUAAAAGAAAAAGUUUUAAUCCAAUAUCCAACUAUGCAUUGUAUGCUGCAAAAACUGAUGGCAGUAUUAAUAAAUUAAAUGGAUAAUUUAAACCCAAUAUAUAUUCAGCAGGGAAUAAUGAACUAGCAAUAAGUAACCCAUUUUGCAAAAGCAAUAAACCACUGUAAAUACGUAAUGAACGUAAUUUUAAAAAAGAUGUUCUAGCUUUGAAAUUUAAUGAGUGGGGAAAAAAUAAAAUGCUGUGCAAAAACAAUAAUAUAAAAUCAAAAGAGAAUUUUUUUCCUCUAGUCUUUAGGUAGCUGGUGUAUCAAGGGAAUGGAGUACUUAUUUAAUUUAUUGAAGUUUUAAAUUUAGUAAACUUGUGUCAUCUUCAUUUCAGAAAUAAGUUGCUACAUUUAUUUCUCUCAAUAAACCAACCUCUGAUGACAGUGUGUCAGGAGAUGUAAAUUCUUACUUUAUUUUAUCAUUUUCGCACUCAUUGAAUUUCAAAGCUGGGCACCUUUUCUUAAUUAUUUACAGCAGUUUAUUUCUUUUUCAAAAUAGUUUAUUUAUUGCCAGCUCCUUAUUACAGUGAAUAUGUAUUGGGUUUGAAUUUUUGAUUUAUUUUAUAAAUGAAUGAAUAAAUAUAUAUAUAUAUAUAUAGAGAGAGAGAGAGAGAAAGAAAAUAUUUUUGUCAUAUACUUCUUGAGGAGGAACACUGAAUGUGAGAGAUUUAUAGAUCUUGUGAUAAAUUUUUACUUAAUUUUUUUUAUUCAUACAACAUGAUAAAUUUGAUUAAUGCAUAGAAGUAAUCUUUUAUCUUCUGUCACAAAAUAUUCUUUGAUUUCAAAACAAUUUUUUUUCCUCUUGUCAUUUUUAUUUAGUUUCACAUAACACUGUAGAGACAGGCUAUAUGUUUGUCUGUAAUUGUGUGCACUAUCUGUAAACAUUUUAAUGUGUGGUGCCUUUUUUUAUCUUUGAGUUAGCAUGUUCAAAAAUGUGACUUCCUAGAAAAUGUGCAGCUACAGAAUUAUUUUGCUCAGCUUUGUAGGUGCUAGAUUUAUUUUAUAAUGCAGCUAAUUUUUAUAUUGCUAUAAUUAUACCUAGUAUAGCAUAAUUUACAUUUGUUUAUAACAUUCUGCCAAUUAGUGUUUCCUGCAGUAAAAGGAAUUUGGCAUUUUAUGACAUUCUGAUAGUUUAAUAUAUUAAUAUUUAAUAUCUCCUAGUAAAUUCAGACAGUAUGAAUAUACAUUUAGUGUGCAUGUUUCGUUUGGAGUUCAUUUUUUCCAUCAGCCAAAGCCAAGAUUAAUUCUGAUCUUACCUAAGCAGGAUACUUUAUUAUAUUUCUUUGCAUGAAAGUAAUCAGUUAAAUCAAACUGCAGAUUUUAAGAGUGGAUAAGUAGUUUUCAGCAGAAGAAUUUAUUGGUUUCUUUGCAGCUGUAUUUCAUUCUUGGAAAAUGGAUAGGAAAAUUUAUUCAUCAAAAGAAUUUUAAAUGGACAUUGUAAAAUGUAAACAUACAGAGAAAAGAAUGUCAAAGAAUAAUUAUCUGAUAACAAAUUAUUCAAUAAAAUAUUGCAUUUAGAAUGUGAAGUAUAUGAAAAAUUAAGCAACUGUCCAAAUAUACAAUUGAAAUUGUAUGAAAUGGAACAAGUUUCUUUUUUUUUUUUUUAGUCAGAACAAUCAUGUUCCUUUUAAAUCUGUAGCAUUAAAAACUGAACUCAGUAUCCUAUCCUGCAAGCAACUACAGCAACAAAGCAUAUAUUUCAAAGAGCAGCGGAGCCUCAGAUCACAAAUGCUUCAUUUCACAAACAAAAUCUCUGAACAGAUAACAUCACAUCAUUUUAAUAUUUUCCUUUGCUUUAUCCUCAGUAACAAAGUCUGGCAGCAAGUGAUUCAUAAGAGCUUGAGUUUGGUUUGGAGGAAAUUAUGUUGAGAUUGGACUAUAUGCAGAGACUUUGAGGGUUUUGACACUUAGGACUUCUUUUGUUAUCUAUGAUAUUAUGUAUCUAGGCAAAACCAUGCGAUAGAUAGUUAACAAUAAGGACAUGGAGAUGUUAUUAGAAGAUUAUAAAAAUGAACUCAACAAGAAAGAACUACAGCAACUUCAUAAUCAGCAACAAAAGGCAAUUGUAGAAGAGGAAGAUGGGAAAUUUGUGCAGAAUGGGGAAAAUGUAAAGUUUUCACGCAAUGAUAUCACCCUGAUAAAGAAGUAAGAAGUUACAACAUAAGCAUUUUCAGUGAUAAUACCAAUAUGUCACUUUAGGAACAUUUUAAAACAUAAACAACAAUAAAUCACAUGAGGUAAAUUUUAAAUGAAGGCUUGGUGAAUCUCAAACAGAGUCAAACAGUGCAAAGACAAAGGAAAAUAAAAUAAGAUACUUACCAAAGACCGUUGCUUAAUGUUUGCAUUAGGAAGAGAUGCCUCAUCCAAAUGAUAACAUCUUCCUUGUCAUUUUCCAUUUAUGCUGCAUAAUGUUCUUUCAUACAGUAAUAUUAAAUUAAGCUUUUGACUUUUUUUAUCUGUUUAAUGCUAUGUUUACCUUUGUCUUAUAUUUAAUGAUAUCCAUUGGUUUUUUGGCAAUGAUUUUGUUCCCAGAAUAUUGUUGUGGAGUUGAACAAUUGUGGUCCAGGAAAAUGCAUUUACAUUAAUUCCAAUGGCAAAAAUUGUUUUGGUUGACGAACAGCCUUCAGGAAUCAAUUAAAUUUGUGAAACGAGGUUUCAUUGUAUAUGCUUUUUCUGUUUGUAAGAAUAAAUACUGUGACACCUCUCAUGCUGACUGACAACAUUUCUGAAAACAUAAAUAUUGAACAUCUGAAAAAAUAUUAAUAUUAAACAUUUUUGAGAACAAAGAUAUUGAACAUCUAUGAUGUUGUAUUCUUUAAGGCAAUCAUCUUCACAAAUAGAAAUUAGGAAAUGUGGGGUCUGUUUCUGUGGUUUUACUGCAAUAUGUGAGGAAGUGAAGAAAAUUCCACUGAGAGUAUUAAUAAUUUGAAAUAUGUUAAUGCGUCAAACAAAAUUUCUUCUUUAGUAGCUGAUAUUAUCUUAUGCUGCACUGGCUUCAGAAAAACCUGCUAACUUUACAUUAGUCACUAGAGUUUUGGAUUUAGCAUGAGGACCCUUUUUUAAUAAGUGUAUGUUGCAUAAGUCUCUAAAAAUAAAUUUAGCUUUUUCUAUUAUCUUCUAUAUCUUACUCUUUUUCUAUUAUAUAUAGGCUAAUAUGUAUAUGCUUUAUAUGGUCAUAAGUUUCUCUUAAUAUAUGCACAUUGAAAUUUACUCCAGCAUUCACUUGCAUUAGAAGAAAUGUCAACACCAAGGCCAUGUGAGAAUUUGUGUCACAUAAAGGGGAAAAAAAAAUCUCAUGUCAAGCCUUUAGAUUUAAAAAUUUAAUUUAAAGAUAAUAUAUUUAAAAUAAAAUUUUAUACUAAAUCAUGUUAAUUUCCUUUAAAUUCAUCAUGCUUAAAAAAGUUUGUAACUUCCUGAAAUUAUUAAAAAGAAUUUUAUUUAAAUGUAUUUAAUAUAUCCUAAAAUUCUAGAUAAUGAUUGUAUAUUAAUAUGUUAAUCAUAUUAAUUAAGCAUUGUAAUGUUACUACAAGAGACUUGCUUAUAUGAUAUUUUUAAUUAAAUAAAUUCAGAUGAUAACUGCAAGGUUAUUUGUAGUCACAUUCAUUUUUUUUUAUGAGUAAAUUCUUCUAUAUUUUACUCUUGACAAAUAUGAGAAGAAAUGCAGAUAUGUAAAUUUUAAGCUGUAGUUGUAUUCUUGAUGAAAUUCGUCCUUUCUAACUGAAAAUUUGAAUUCAACUAAUUUAUAAUUGCUUUUUUUUAUAUGCCAUUUAAGUUAUGUGAUUAAAUUCAUUUUGGUGAAUUUUGUGAUUUUAAAAUUUUUUAAUAUAUUUCUAGUCCAAAAUGUGAUAUAUGAUGUAUUUCAGAGUGUGUACAUUUUUUAAAAUUUUCUUUUCAGUUCAGUUGUCAAUUAACACCUUAUCGAUGAGACUAUAAAAUUGAUUACUUAACAAUUAUCAAUCACCUUAUCAAUGAGAUAGUUGAUUGAUUACUUAACAAUAAUUUAUUAGAUGCAAUUUCCCAUCAUUGAAAUCUGAAGGCAGUAUUAAGUUUGAAACAUACAUUGUUAUCCAUCGAUAAGUUGUUAAGAUAUAUGUGAUGUCUAGUUUAUAGUUUUUUUAAUGUUUUCUUUAUUUAAACUGAGUGUUAAUGUAUGCUUGUAUUUUAUUUGUUUAAAUUGCAGAUUUACUUAUAAUUAUUGAUUUACCAUGGCACAGUUUUUACAUGACAUUAAGUGUUUUUAGAUGAAAUUAGAUAUUUGUUUUAAUUUUUAGUAUGCAGUGCUAUACAAAAACAUUAUCAAAUCUGUAAUAUAUAUAUAUAUAUAAAAAAAAAAAAAAAAAAAAAAAAAAAAAAAAAAAAAAAAAUUA
rnacentral:misc_RNA from 1 species